rnacentral:rRNA from 1 species
GAUGAACGCUGGCGGCGUGCUUAACACAUGCAAGUCGAACGGAAAGGCCCUGCUUUUGUGGGGUGCUCGAGUGGCGAACGCGUGAGUAACACGCGAGUAACCUGCCCUUGACUUUGGGAUAACUUCAGGAAACUGGGGCUAAUACCGGAUAGGAGCUCCUGCUGCAUGGUGGGGGUUGGAAAGUUUCGGCGGUUGGGGAUGGACUCGCGGCUUAUCAGCUUGUUGGUGGGGUAGUGGCUUACCAAGGCUUUGACGGGUAGCCGGCCUGAGAGGGUGACCGGCCACAUUGGGACUGAGAUACGGCCCAGACUCCUACGGGAGGCAGCAGUGGGGAAUAUUGCACAAUGGGCGGAAGCCGGAUGCAGCAACGCCGCGUGCGGGAUGACGGCCUUCGGGUUGUAAACCGCUUUCGCCUGUGACGAAGCGUGAGUGACGGUAAUGGGUAAAGAAGCACCGGCUAACUACGUG